rnacentral:lncRNA from 1 species
UUAAUAAUAAUAAUUAAUUUAUUACCAUGUAGAAAAUUUCUAAAAGUGGAAAAGAACUAAUUUUUGUGGAUAUUCCAAAAUGACAAAAAUUGAUUAUUUUUUAAGAACGGAGGAAUUACAUUUUAUUGUUCAUCGUCUGAAUCAAAGUUUAAACAGACAAAAUAUCCACUUUUUAUUCAGAGAUCAAAUGUCCAGCGAUUGAGUAAAACAACAAUAGAAGAGACUUCCCUCAAAAAAAAAAAAAAAAAAAAAAAAAAAAAAA